rnacentral:lncRNA from 1 species
AGGAACACCGACCGCCACACGCGGUUGGCCAUAAGGCCUCCUGACAAGGACGCCUCGGUGAACAGAUGAAUGAAUGCAUGCUUCAUUCAUUCAGAAUUCAUUUCCUUCAGAAGCAGCUCUGGGGUGUUUUAGUUCUGAGACACGGCCGCCAGGGGGCACCAAUAGCCGCACAGACGCAGUCACAGCUCUGCAAGUCUCGGAGGGUUUGAACGCCUGAUGCCCUGGCGGACACGGACUGCCCGGGUGAGGAAAUGCCGGCAAAUUACUUCCAGAUAUCUGGCCUUGGUGGAUAAUGGUUCCUAGUUUGUGUAACAACAGACCUAGGCCCCUGCGCACACCCAUCAUGGGGGCCAGUGAAAGGUGCCUGGAGACUAGUGAAGGACUACUGAGACAUGCCCUUGUAGAAUGUCUGAGGGCUUGUGUACGUGCCUUCUAGGACUAUCUUGAGGAUUAAAGGAAAUAUUUGAUGUCAGCUCUAUACGUGAUAAUACAUGUCUUCUGCCAGCAUCCCCACUUUUGGAAAGCUACUUAAGAGGAUGCUUGAAUAAACCAUGGUCUCCAGUAUGGACUGAGAGCCCUCCUGAUGUUAGACCCCCGGAAAAUUCAGGUAUCCGGGGUCCAGGGCCACGUUCACGGUCACCCCAAUCACCAGGCGGAUUUGAGAGCUUGCUGCAAACUGCACGAGGCUUUAUUGUAAUUUAACGAGCUAACCCCAUGUUAGCUCGGGUCUUUCACCCAC